CCUACGGGAGGCAGCAGUGAGGAAUAUUGGUCAAUGGACGAGAGUCUGAACCAGCCAAGUAGCGUGAAGGAUGACUGCCCUGUGUGUUGUAAACUUCUUUUAUAUGGGAAUAAAAUGUUCCACGUGUGGGCUUUUGUAUGUACCCUAUGAAUAAGGCUCGGCUAACUCCGUGCCAGCAGCCGCGGUAAUACGGAGGAUCCGAGCGUUAUCCGGAUUUAUUGGGUUUAAAGGGAGCGUAGGUGGGUUGUUAAGUCAGUUGUGAAAGGGUGCGGGUCAACCGGAAAAUUGCAGUUGAAACUAGCAGUCUUGAGGAGAGGAGAGGUGGGCGGAAUGCGUGGUGUAGCGGUGAAAUGCUUAGAGAUCACGAAGAACUCCGAUUGCGAAGGCAGCUCACUGGACUGAAACUGACACUGAGGCUCGAAAGUGUGGGUAUCAAACAGGAUUAGAUACCCCAGUAGUC
rnacentral:rRNA from 1 species